rnacentral:rRNA from 1 species
UACGGGGGGAGCAAGCGUUGUUCGGAUUUAUUGGGCGUAAAGCGUGCGUAGGCGGCUGCGCAAGUCGGGUGUGAAACCCCGGGGCUCAACCCCGGAACUGCAUCCGAUACUGCGUGGCUAGAGGUAGGUAGGGGAGAUCGGAAUUCCUGGUGUAGCGGUGAAAUGCGCAGAUAUCAGGAAGAACACCAAUGGCGAAGGCAGCUCUCUGGGACGGUACUGACGCUGAGACGCGAAAGCGUGGGGAGCGAACAGG